rnacentral:rRNA from 1 species
CCCUUAGAUGUUCUGGGCCGCACGCGCGCUACACUGAUCGGUGCAACAAGCAUCCGUCCUUGGCCGACAGGCCCGGGCAAUCUUUGAACGCCGGUCGUGAUGGGGAUAGACCUUUGCAAUUUUUGGUCUUCAACGAGGAAUUCCUAGUAAACGCAAGUCACCAACUUGCAUUGAUUACGUCCCUGCCCUUUGUACACACCGCCCGUCGCACCUACCGAUUGAAUGGUCCGGUGAAACCUCCGGAUUGGCGCGUGCCCUCGGGCGCCGCCGAGAAGUUGGUUAAACCUUACCAUUUAGAGGAAGGUGAAGUCGUAACA